rnacentral:rRNA from 1 species
AUUGAACGCUGGCGGCAGGCCUAACACAUGCAAGUCGAGCGGAUGAAGGGAGCUUGCUCCUGGAUUCAGCGGCGGACGGGUGAGUAAUGCCUAGGAAUCUGCCUGGCAGUGGGGGAUAACGUCCGGAAACGGGCGCUAAUACCGCAUACGUCCUGAGGGAGAAAGUGGGGGAUCUUCGGACCUCACGCUAUCAGAUGAGCCUAGGUCGGAUUAGCUAGUUGGUGGGGUAAAGGCCUACCAAGGCGACGAUCCGUAACUGGUCUGAUAGGAUGAUCAGUCACACUGGAACUGAGACACGGUCCAGGCUCCUACGGGAGGCAGCAGUGGGGAAUAUUGGACAAUGGGCGAAAGCCUGAUCCAGCCAUGCCGCGUGUGUGAAGAAGGUCUUCGGAUUGUAAAGCACUUUAAGUUGGGAGGAAGGGCAGUAAGUUAAUACCUUGCUGUUUUGACGUUACCAACAGAAUAAGCACCGGCUAACUUCGUG